rnacentral:rRNA from 1 species
UUAAAAAGCUCGUAGUUGGAUUUCUGCGGGGGCGGGGCGGCCGGUUGCUUAUAGCAACUCGAGCUAGCACUUCCCCUGCAUCCUGCCGCGAACCGUGCUACCAUUAGUUUGGUGGCGCCGGGGAUCGGCUCGUUUACUUUGAGAAAAAUAGAGUGUUCAAAGCAGGCCACACGCCUUGAAUAAGUUAGCAUGGAAUAAUGAUAAAGGACUUCGGUUCUAUUUUGUUGGUGUUCGGGACUGAAGUAAUGAUUGAUAGGGACAGUUGGGGCGGUCCGUAUUCCAAAGCGAGAGGUGAAAUUCUUAGACCUUCGGAAGACGAACAGCUGCGAAAGCGUUCCGCAAGGAUGUUCCCUUUGAUCAAGAACGAAAGUUGGGGGAUCGAAGACGAUCAGAUACCGUCGUAGUCUCAACUAUAAACUAUACCAGCUAGGGAUCGGCCAACGUUUAAUUAUACCGACUUGGUCGGCACCUUAUGAGAAAUCAAAGCAUCUGGGUUCCGGGGGG